AGUGAACGCUGGCGGUAGGCCUAACACAUGCAAGUCGAAUGGCAGCACAGUAAGAGCUUGCUCUUACGGGUGGCGAGUGGCGGACGGGUGAGGAAUACAUCGGAAUCUACUUUUUCGUGGGGGAUAACGUAGGGAAACUUACGCUAAUACCGCAUACGACCUACGGGUGAAAGCAGGGGAUCUUCGGACCUUGCGCGAUUGAAUGAGCCGAUGUCGGAUUAGCUAGUUGGCGGGGUAAAGGCCCACCAAGGCGACGAUCCGUAGCUGGUCUGAGAGGAUGAUCAGCCACACUGGAACUGAGACACGGUCCAGACUCCUACGGGAGGCAGCAGUGGGGAAUAUUGGACAAUGGGCGCAAGCCUGAUCCAGCCAUACCGCGUGGGUGAAGAAGGCCUUCGGGCUGUAAAGCCCUUUUGUUGGGAAAGAAAAGCAGCAGGUUAAUACCCCGCUGUUCUGACGGUACCCAAAGAAUAAGCACCGGCUAACUUCGUG
rnacentral:rRNA from 1 species